rnacentral:rRNA from 1 species
AGAGAGAGACAUGCGCGCAUAUCAAUAAGCGGAGGAAAAGAAACUAACUAAGGAUUCCCUCAGUAACGGCGAGUGAAGCGGGAAGAGCUCAAAUUUGAAAUCUUCAAGGUUUUACCUUGACGAAUUGUAGUUUAAAGAAGUGUUUUCUGUUGAAGUUUUGGUAAAAGUUCUUUGGAAUAGGACAUCAUAGAGGGUGAGAAUCCCGUAUUUGACCAUUAUUUUCAGCUGUGUGAUACACUUUCAAAGAGUCGGAUUGUUUGGGAAUGCAGUCCAAAAUGGGUGGUAAAUUUCAUCUAAAGCUAAAUAUUGGCGAGAGACCGAUAGCGAACAAGUACCGUGAGGGAAAGAUGAAAAGAACUUUGAAAAGAGAGUUAAACAGUACGUGAAAUUGUCAAAAGGGAAGCGUUUGACACCAGUGUUGUUUUCUCGAAAAUCAAUUAAAAAAGGCCGGAUUUUGUGUUGUAUUGAUCUUAAAAGCUUUCUUCACUCUUUUCUUGUCUUUUUUAAUGCACUUUUCGUUUAACAAGUCAACAUCAGUUUCUUUUGUUGUAAAAGGGUCAUUGGAAGGUGGCUUUCUUUUCGGAGAAAGUGUUUAUAGCCUUUGAUCUCUGCAACCGGAGAGACUGAGGUCUGCAGCGUAGACUCUUCGGGGUUAGAUACAUUUGUGCUAAGCUAUAGCUUUUUAUAGACAACUUGUUGACUAUAUUUAGUCUUGUGGCUUACUCGCUUAUGCUAUUUUACCUACGCUAGGAUGUUGACAGCAGUAUAGACUGU